rnacentral:rRNA from 1 species
AUUGAACGCUGGCGGCAGGCCUAACACAUGCACGUCGAACGAGUGGCGGACGGGUGAGUAAUGUCUGGGACACUGCCUGAUGGCGGGGGAUACCUACUGGACCCGUUAGCUAAUACCGCCUACCCUCCGCUGUGCCCCGAUGGGAUUAGCUAGUUGGUGGGGUAACGGCGCACCAAGGCGACGAUCCCUAGCUGGUCUGAGAGGAUGACCAGCAACACUGGAACUGAGACACGGUCCAGACUCCUACGGGAGGCAGAAGUGGGGAAUAUUGCACAAUGGGCGAAAGCCUGAUGCAGCCAUGCCGCGUGUAUGAAGAAGGCCUUCGGGUUGUAAAGUACUUUCAGCGGGGAGGCGUUACCCGCAGAAGAAGCACCGGCUAACUCCGUGCCAGCAGCCGCGGUAAUAC